rnacentral:rRNA from 1 species
AACGUAGGAGGCAAGCGUUAUCCGGAAUUACUGGGCGUAAAGGGCGUCUAGGCGGCCUCACAAGCGGGAUGUGAAAGCUCCUGGCUCAACUGGGAGAGUGCGUUCCGAACUGUGGAGCUAGAGGCCAGGCGAUGGGGGUGGAAUUCCCGGUGGAGUGGUGAAAUGCGUAGAGAUCGGGAGGAACACCAGUGGCGCAAGCGGCCCCCAAGCCUGAGACUGACGCUGAAGCGCGACAGCGUGGGGAGCAAACGGG